GUAGGCGUAGCUUAAGGCAAAGCAGCGGUCUCCAAAACCGCGAGAUGAAGGUGCAAGCCCUUCCGCCUGUGCCA
rnacentral:tRNA from 1 species